UACGAAGGGGGCUAGCGUUGCUCGGAAUCACUGGGCGUAAAGGGUGCGUAGGCGGGUCUUUAAGUCAGGGGUGAAAUCCUGGAGCUCAACUCCAGAACUGCCUUUGAUACUGAGGAUCUUGAGUUCGGGAGAGGUGAGUGGAACUGCGAGUGUAGAGGUGAAAUUCGUAGAUAUUCGCAAGAACACCAGUGGCGAAGGCGACAUACUGGUCCGUUACUGACGCUGAGGCUCGAAAGCGUGGGGAGCAAACAGG
rnacentral:rRNA from 1 species